rnacentral:lncRNA from 1 species
CAACUUUUCUUUUCCCUUUGUUGGAGGGAGACAUAUGGACCCCUCCAUAGGGAGGGUCCAGUGGGCCCACCCUUGGAGUGAUCGAAUGCAGAGGGACCCAGACUAGGGGCAAUGUGCUCACAAACUCUGAAGCUGGCCUCACCUAGCUGUGGGAGACCACACAGUGGAUGGAACUCUCCCCACUGCCCAUAUCUGGGGCAGGUGAGGAAGAGGAGGGUUCUAAAAUUCUAGAAAGAAAGGAUCAGGAAACCUCUCUCCGUGAGAGACAGGCUGGCUCCCACAUCGUGAUGGCAGGCUGGAGAGAAGGGAGGCCCUAUGGGUCUCAAGUUUUACCGCAUUCCUUCUCCGGAGCACCAGUUUCUUUUGGAAGUCAAGAUCUCUUGGAAACCACCUGUGUCAACUUGUCACCACUGUCCUACAUAAGAACCUCCCGCCAUUCCUUACUUCUUCAUUUCAGGAGUGAGAUCUGUAUCGGGGUGGAGUAAAAGCAGAACCUCAGCCUUUGUGCAAACUUCUGUUUUGGAAUGGAUCGAUCCUCUCGUAUUGGUCCUAUCAGGCCCCCAAGUGUCCCUCUCAGCUGACUAGGAGCCCCUCACAGGUAUGGACUGUCCGGUAUUCACCCUGGCACAUCUCCAGGGAAGCUCAGGACCUGGGCAAGAGGAGGUGCUCCCCGAAUGCUUGUUGAAUGAAUACAUGAAAGAAUGAAUCAUCUAAACCCAAUGUUAUCACCUCCCUGAGCAGAGCUGAUCUCCCGCCCCACUGUCCUCCUACGCUACUCUGGGACAAGCCAGUUCUUGCAGAAACAGAGCCAGGAAGAAAAAGUUAAUCCAACUCUCCUUGCAAAGCAGCUUCUAAUCCUCUCCUUAAAAUCCCUUUAACCCACCCACGGUCAGCCUCAGCUCUGAUUCAGCCCUGAGCUGGCUCUGACCCAGGUCUUCUCAAAAAAGGGAAAAAAGAGAGGGGGGAGAGAAGUUAAGUCACUUCCAGAAACACGGAAGUAAGGACAGAAGCAAUCCAGAGCGGGCAUUCUCUCUCCACUCAGGGUUGUAAUUCUAGCAUUGGAGGCGGGGCGUUUUUUCUUUUUCUCAAUUCUUUUUCUUUUCUUUUCUUUUCUUUUCUUUUCUUUUCUUUUCUUUUCUUUUCUUUUCUUUUCUUUCUUUUCUUUUCUCUUCUUUUCUUUUCUCUUCUUUUCUUUUCUUUUCUUUUCUUGUUCUCAAUUCUUUCUCUAAUCACAAAAGUAAUACACAUUUAAUGAACAAGUCUUGGAAAGCGCAUGUGGAGGAGAGAACACUU